rnacentral:rRNA from 1 species
AUUGAACGCUGGCGGCAUGCCUUACACAUGCAAGUCGAACGGUAACAGGCCGCAAGGUGCUGACGAGUGGCGAACGGGUGAGUAAUGCAUCGGAACGUGCCCAGUCGUGGGGGAUAACUGCCCGAAAGAGCAGCUAAUACCGCAUACGAUCUGAGGGUGUAAGCGGGGGACCGUAAGGCCUCGCGCGAGUGGAGCGGCCGAUGUCAGAUGAGCUAGUUGGUGGGGUAAAGGCCUACCAAGGCAACGAUCUGUAGUUGGUCUGAGAGGACGACCAGCCACACUGGGACUGAGACACGGCCCAGACGCCGACGGGAGGCAGCAGUGGGGAAUUUUGGACAAUGGGCGCAAGCCUGAUCCAGCAAUGCCGCGUGCAGGAAGAAGGCCUUCGGGUUGUAAACUGCUUUUGUCAGGGAAGAAACCUUCUGGGCUAAUACCCCGGGAGGAUGACGGUACCUGAAGAAUAAGCACCGGCUAACUACGUGCCAGCAGCCGCGGUAAUAC